AAAGUCGGCCAGGCAAUCGCUGGACACGCAAGUGUCGGGAGGAAAGUCCGGGCUCCAUUGGGCGGGAUGCCAGUUAACGGCUGGGUGCUAUACGGUCGCAAGACCCAAGGCAACGGAAAGUGCAACAGAGAACAGACCGCCGAUGGCCUUGAGCUUCGCCGCUGCUUGCAGCGGCAACGGCUCAAGGAUCAGGUAAGGGUGAAACGGCGAGGUAAGAGCUCACCGCGUCCACGGUAACGGCGGACGGCACGGUAAACCCCAUCCGGAGCAAAACCAAAUAGGGAAGCUGAGGCGUGGCCCGCGCUGCUUCCGGGUAGGUUGCUUGAGCCUGUCGGUGACGGCAGGCCUAGAGGAAUGAUUGCCGAACCCCGCAAGGGGGGAACAGAACCCGGCUUAUCGGCCGGCUUUCCAA
rnacentral:RNase_P_RNA from 1 species